rnacentral:lncRNA from 1 species
UAAAUUAACAAGCAAUAUUAUCUUAUACAUUUUAACAUUUAUUAAUAAGGUAUAAACUUUAUAUUUUACUUAUUUCAGAACCUUCUCUUUAUAUAUAGUGUAAGCUACUAUACUAUCAGAAGUAUAGAGAAUUUGAUGUUUUCGAUUUUUUAACCCUUGAAUGAAAAUUUAUACAGUUGGAAUAAUUACGGUUCCCCUUAAAGUUGAAUAUAUCUCCAGGGUUGAAUAGUAUCCUUAGAGUUGAGAGGUUCCCACAAAGUAAUAGUAUUAAUCCAAAUACUAGAAAUGAUUAAAGAGGCUAAUCUAAAGGCCAAAAAGUUGGAAGUACCAGAUCGUCUAUACUUCCAAUAGUAUAGUAGCUUAGCUCUACUCUCUCUCUCUCUCUCUCUCUCUCUCACAAGAGAGAGAGAGAGCUAAGCUGGUAUACUAUCGGCUACCAAGUUGUUUUCAAUAAUACGGCUUCUAAAUCGACGAUCGACUCCGUUAGACUUGAUCUACACUUAAAAGUAUUUGGAAACUAAAUUUCAUAAUUUUUCAACAUCAUUUGACUAGUGAUCAAAAGGUCUCAAAACUGACAAUUUUAAUGGUAGAUGUGAUACGUUUGUGAAUUUAACCGCGUAAAACAAUCCAAAUUUGAUAAAAUUUUUAUAAAAAAUUCUUUUCAGUAUUUAGAGUAAGAUCAGUACCUCUGAUCUUAAAUUCAAGUCUUUUAUCAUCAUUUCUUAUGAGAUUUUUAUUUUCAGCCGUUCAUUUUUAGACUACUCGUUUGAUAGGUAAAUGAUGUCGAAAAAUUAUAAAAUUUAGUUUUUAAAUACUUUCAAUAGUAUAGAUCAAGUUUAACGAAUCUGAUCGUCGAUUUUGAAGUCACAUUAUUGAAAAUAACUUGGUAGCACAGAGGCCUCCGUGCUACCGAUAGUAUACCAGUCUAGCUAAAAUACUCCCAAAGCCACUAUGAAGGUGGUGCUUUUGAGUUUUUAGCCAUUAGAUGGAGAGGUAUAGGUUUGAGAUGAUAGUGGUAGGUGGUGGUAUGUAGUGGUAGGUGGAAUAAUGUUUGAUCCAAAGGCUAUUAGUAAUCAAGGAGUAGAUUCAAGGGCUAGAAACUUAGAAGCACCAAGAGAUUGGUGCUUUUAAAAGUAUUCUAGCUCAAUUAUAUAUAUAUAUAUAUAUAUAUAUAUAUAUAUAUAUAUAUAUAGGCUAGGGCUACUAUACUCUUAUGAAUAUAGCCCCCUUUGUACUCAUAAGUUUUCGACCAUUGGAUGAAGAGAUGUGCGGUUAGGAUGAUAGUGGUUCCCGAUUAGGUAAUUAAUAGUGGUCCGCUAGAAUUGAGUGGGUGGUUUGUUGAAUAGUAUAAUCUAACGGGUGGAAAUGAUCAAAGAAAUAGAUCUAACGGCAAAAAACUUAUGAGUACAAAAAAGACUAUACUCAUAAGAGUAUAGUAGCUGAACUAUAUAUAUAUAUAUAUAUAUAUAUAGAGUUGAGCUAUGAUAUUUUUACAAGUAUCACCAUCAUGGUGCUAUUAGGUUUUAAGCCAUUGGAUCUACUUUUUGAUUAUUAAUAGCCCUUGAAUUAAACACUAUUCCACCUACCACCACCUACCACCAUCAUCUCAACCUCACAUCUCUCCAUCCAAGGGCUAAAAACACACAAGUAUCACCCCCAUGAUACUUUUACAAGUAUUCUAGCCCUACUCAUAUAUAUAUAUAUAUAUAUAUAUAUAUAUAGUGAGGCUACUAUGCUAUCGGAAGCAUGGAGCCUUCCGUGCUUCCAGCUCGUUUUCGAUGUUGCGACUUUCGAAUCGUCGAUCGACUCCGUUAAACUUGAUCUAGAGCAUUUGAAGUACUUAGAAAAUAAAUUUUAUGAUUUUACGAUAUCAUUUGCCUAGUGAACGAAGGGGCUCAAAAUCAACGGCUGAAAAUAAAAAU